GAGUAACACGUGAGUAACCUGCCCCCUUCUCCUGGAUAACCUCAUGAAAGUGGGGCUAAUACGGGGUAUUCUGGCCUGCUCGCAUGGGUGGGUUUGGAAAGAUUUGUUUUGGUGGGGGAUGGGCUCGCGGCCUAUCAGCUUGUUGGUGGGGUGAUGGCCUACCAAGGCUUUGACGGGUAGCCGGCCUGAGAGGGUGGACGGCCACACUGGGACUGAGACACGGCCCAGACUCCUACGGGAGGCAGCAGUGGGGAAUAUUGCACAAUGGGCGCAAGCCUGAUGCAGCGACGCCGCGUGAGGGAUGACGGCCUUCGGGUUGUAAACCUCUUUCGCCAGUGAAGCAGCCGCUCUUUUUUUGGGGGUGGUGACGGUAGCUGGAUAAGAAGCGCCGGCUAACUACGUGCCAGCAGCCGCGGUAAUACGUAGGGCGCGAGCGUUGUCCGGAAUUAUUGGGCGUAAAGGGCUCGUAGGCGGCUGGUCGCGU
rnacentral:rRNA from 1 species